AUUGAACGCUGGCGGCAUGCCUUACACAUGCAAGUCGAACGGUAACAGGUUAAGCUGACGAGUGGCGAACGGGUGAGUAAUAUAUCGGAACGUGCCCAGUAGUGGGGGAUAGCCCGGCGAAAGCCGGAUUAAUACCGCAUACGACCUACGGGUGAAAGGGGGGGAUCGCAAGACCUCUCGCUAUUGGAGCGGCCGAUAUCAGAUUAGGUAGUUGGUGGGGUAAAGGCCUACCAAGCCUGCGAUCUGGAGUUGGUCUGAGAGGACGACCAGCCACACUGGGACGGAGACACGGCCCAGACUCCUACGGGAGGCAGCAGUGGGGAAUUUUGGACAAUGGGCGCAAGCAUAAUCCAGCAAUGCCGCGUGCAGGAAGAAGGCCUUCGGGUUGUAAACUGCUUUUGUCAGGGAAGAAAUCCUCUGGGUUAAUACCUCGGGGGGAUGACGGUACCUGAAGAAUAAGCACCGGCUAACUACGUGCCAGCCGCCGCGGUAACAC
rnacentral:rRNA from 1 species